rnacentral:rRNA from 1 species
CUCCUACGGGAGGCAGCAGUGGGGGAUAUUGCACAAUGGGGGAAACCCUGAUGCAGCGAUGCCGCGUGGAGGAAGAAGGUUUUCGGAUUGUAAACUCCUGUCGUAAGGGAAGAGGAAGGACUGUACCUUACAAGAAAGCUCCGGCUAACUACGUGCCAGCAGCCGCGGUAAUACGUAGGGAGCGAGCGUUGUCCGGAAUGACUGGGUGUAAAGGGAGCGUAGGCGGGAUGGCAAGUCAGAUGUGAAAUCUGAGAGCUCAACUUUCAGACUGCAUUUGAAACUGCUGUUCUUGAGUGAAGUAGAGGUAAGCGGAAUUCCUGGUGUAGCGGUGAAAUGCGUAGAGAUCAGGAGGAACAUCGGUGGCGAAGGCGGCUUACUGGGCUUUUACUGACGCUGAGGCUCGAAAGCGUGGGGAGCAAACAGGAUUAGAUACCCUGGUAGUCCACGCUGUAAACGAUGAUUACUAGGUGUGGGGGGAUUGACCCCUUCCGUGCCGCAGUUAACACAAUAAGUAAUCCACCUGGGGAGUACGACCGCAAGGUUGAAACUCAAAGGAAUUGACGGGGGCCCGCACAAGCAGUGGAGUAUGUGGUUUAAUUCGAAGCAACGCGAAGAACCUUACCAGGUCUUGACAUCGAGUGACGUAUCCAGAGAUGGAUAUUUCCUUCGGGACACAAAGACAGGUGGUGCAUGGUUGUCGUCAGCUCGUGUCGUGAGAUGUUGGGUUAAGUCCCGCAACGAGCGCAACCCUUAUCAUUAGUUGCUACGCAAGAGCACUCUAAUGAGACUGCCGUUGACAAAACGGAGGAAGGUGGGGAUGACGUCAAAUCAUCAUGCCCCUUAUGACCUGGGCUACACACGUACUACAAUGGCGAUCGAACAGAGGGAAGCAAGACAGCGAUGUGGAGCCAAUCCCAAAAAAUCGCCCCAGUUCAGAUUGCAGGCUGCAACUCGCCUGCAUGAAGUCGGAAUUGCUAGUAAUCGCAGAUCAGCAUGCUGCGGUGAAUACGUUCCCGGGCCUUGUACACACCGC